CGAACGCUGGCGGCGUGCCUAAUACAUGCAAGUCGAGCGGACGAAUCGAAAGCUUGCUUUUGAUUCGUUAGCGGCGGACGGGUGAGUAACACGUGGGCAACCUGCUCUGUAGACGGGGAUAACACCGAGAAAUCGGUGCUAAUACCGGAUAACACGAAAUGUCGCAUGACGUUUCGUUGAAAGACGGCGCAAGCUGUCGCUACAGGAUGGGCCCGCGGCGCAUUAGCUAGUUGGUGAGGUAACGGCUCACCAAGGCGACGAUGCGUAGCCGACCUGAGAGGGUGAUCGGCCACACUGGGACUGAGACACGGCCCAGACUCCUACGGGAGGCAGCAGUAGGGAAUCUUCCGCAAUGGACGAAAGUCUGACGGAGCAACGCCGCGUGAGCGAAGAAGGCCUUCGGGUCGUAAAGCUCUGUUGUUAGGGAAGAACAAGUAACGCAGUAACUGGCGUUACCGUGACGGUACCUAACGAGAAAGCCACGGCUAACUAC
rnacentral:rRNA from 1 species